GCCUUCAUAUCAGAUAGCUCAGUGAGUAGAGCACGAGGCUAUUCAUCUCAUGGUGGUGGGUUUAAGCCCUAUGUUGGACA